ensembl:lncRNA
AGCUGGCCAGCUAUCAAUUCUAAUAGUUCAGGGAAUGGCUAGUCAUCAGUGUACAGAACCCUAUUACGUUUGGGCAAAAUCAAUAAACCAUACUGGGGGAAGGGGAAAAAUGGGGGACAUGGUCAUGUCUUUAGCACAGCCGCAGCCUCUAGCAUUUUUGCAAUUGUCUAUAGAUCAAAGAACUGGUUGGUGGCAUGGCACCAUUAACACCUCUCAGCAUAAUACCCCUAAGUUCUGCCCAUCCUCCCAAUGGAAUUCAGCAUGCUGAUCUCUGCGUGACUCAUGGCCCAGACAGAACGGGUUGUGAACAAGGCCUUAUGACAAGGGACAUCCCUUAUUUUUUCAUCUCUGUACAAGAUCAGGAGUUGCUGAGUGCUGGAAAAAAAGCAGCAAGAAAUAACCCUGGUGAAUGCGGUUGAGUGCCGAUUAUUGUUGUUGUUUAGUAGAAAUAAUAUAAUAUACCUAUAUCUCAUAGAGCUGGAAGGGACCCCGAAGGGUUAUCGAGUCCAGCCCCCUGCCUUCACUAGCAGGACCAAUAAUGACAAUAUUGGGAGGAGGGCUGGGGCAGUGGUGCUAACAGUCCCUUAUUUUUGAAAUACAAUUUUGGCAACCCUAGACAGAAGAGACAUAAUGAUGGUUGGAGGGGAAAUGGGGUGCAGACCAAGCCCCUGCCAUAGAGGGGAGAAUGUGGGAAACCUGAGCAGCACUGUGACCCUGCAAGUCACAACACCUAGAGUGGGGAGCCGAGCCCAGCCAGCCCCAUGGGACAGGAGGCGCAGAUGCUGCUGCUGUGAUAUGUAUGGUGUACCGGUACUAGUUACACUAAUGUGUAUAUUCUUGAAGAAGCUUAUGACGAAGACUAAGAUCUUGAUUUAUAAAGCCUGCAUAGUCAGCACCCUCCUUUACGGCAGUGAGACAUGGAUCUCAUAUAGCAGGCAAGAAAAGAGACUCACUAGCUGCCAUCUGUGGUUCCUGAGAUCCAUUCUAGACAUCACCUGGCAAGGUAAAAUUACUAAUGAAGACGUGCUAAUGAGGGCACAAAUCUCCAGCCUGAGAGCUGUUAUCAAGCACAACCAUCUUCGUUGGUUAGGUCAUGUGCAUAGGAUGCAAGACGGAAGACUUCCUAAAGACAUCUUAUAAUAUGGUGAGUUAAAGGCGGGUUAAAGACGGAGAGGACGCCCAAAACUUAGGUUUUGAGACACCUGCAAAAGAGACCUAAAAUGCUUUGGUAUUGAGCCACAGACUUAGGAAGCCCAAGUGAAAGGUCGUUCAAGUUGGCAAUCCAGUCUGGAGACAGGCAUCGCAGAACAUGUUAAGCGGUGGCUCUCUAUACUCAAAACAAAAAGACAGAGUAAAAAACGAGUGACUAGCCAUGGACAACAGGAAAACACCUUUUGUUCCACUCGAUGUGAUAACAUCUGUUUGUCCAGAAUUGGUUUUUAUAGUUAUCAAAAAAGCUGCAGCACCAACUGUGACCUCACAUCCACAAUAACAAAUGUCUGUGAAGGUGAAUGGGGCCAAUACUAAUGUGUAUAUUAUAUGUUGUGGGUAAGAUAUUUAGUAAGGCGUGUGGCUUUUGCACUAAUGCCAUUUACUGUGUUGUGACAGGCCAUUGAGGUUUACAAAUGUGUCCUGACCCUGGAAAGGUUACGAACCACUGGCCUUGUCAACCCAAAGCCUGAGGGGGCUGAUGCAAAGACUCGCCGUAUAGCAUGGUCAAAUAUGCACCACUCUAAGUGGGAUAGAACCAUGUUACUAAAUAAUUGACAGUUGAAAUUUGUUAGUAUUGUCUUCACCUUUGCAGUAUUUUGCUCUGUUUCUUCAUGGGGUGUGGUCCUUAACUGACAGAUUUAAAACUAUUCCUGGUAUUAUGUGAGGACUGAGGAGGAAGACAAAUGCCCAUUCAAGGAUGCUGCACCGGUUCCACAGGACAGCAGGUGGCCAUGAUUAUUUCUUGCACUAUAUGCUGAAGAUAAUUCACUAAACCCUGACUCUUCCAGAUCACCCACAACGUCCCUGCUGCCAUUGGGUCGCUGCAGGGCUUGGAGCAGCUGGGAUCCUCAUCCUGGUGGGAGCUGUGAUAGCGAUAAGUGUUUGGGGUAAGCAGUUCAAAAUUAAUUUGUUCAAAAUGCAGCACCCUGAAAUGUCCCCUUCCCGCACAUUUCUGAUUCCAACGCUUUUGUGAAUAAUAUCCUGGACUUUUCAUUAUCAUCACAAAGGGAACAAUAUCACAUGAAGGAGGUAGUGUUAGAACUUGAUAUGUGAGCCCUAUGUGAUCCAGCUCUCACAACGUCACUGUUCAGUGUGCACAGGGAAAAGUGGAAGGCACCUUACAAUGUGUAAUAAAUGAGAUUUUUCUCUCUUUCUCUGUCA